AACGCGAAGAACCUUACCCAGGCUUGACAUCCGAGGAACUCUUAAGAGAUUAAGAGGUGCCUUUCGGGGAACCUCGAGACAGGUGCUGCAUGGCUGUCGUCAGCUCGUGUCGUGAGAUGUUGGGUUAAGUCCCGCAACGAGCGCAACCCACGUCUUUAGUUGCCAGCAUUUAGUUGGGCACUCUAGAGAGACUGCCGGUAAUAAACCGGAGGAAGGUGGGGAUGACGUCAAAUCAUCAUGCCCCUUAUGACCUGGGCUACACACGUGCUACAAUGGUUGGUACAACGAGUCGCAAGCCGGUGACGGCAAGCUAAUCUCUUAAAGCCAAUCUCAGUUCGGAUUGUAGGCUGCAACUCGCCUACAUGAAGUCGGAAUCGCUAGUAAUCGCGGAUCAGCACGCCGCGGUGAAUACGUUCCCGGGCCUUGUACACACCG
rnacentral:rRNA from 1 species